UUGCUAAAAUACUUCUUUAGCAUUGCUUUCAGUACAAGAAUUGUUAGAUAGUUUCCAAAAUAUUAUUUGAUGGUAUUAACAUCUAUCAAAAAUAUGCAUAUAUAUAUACAUUUAUUGUUCCUCGUUCUUGCAACGAGGACAUUAGCUUCGCCAAGAGAAUAUAGAAGAGAAUCUAACAAUGUUUCAUUACCCGUUAAUAGCAGUAAAUAUCCAGCAAACAAGUCCGGUUAUUUGAUUGAAAAUGAACUGAUUAUUAUACCAAUUUUUGAGGGCGAAUCAAGUGAAUUCAGCGAUGGAUCACAAAGUAACGAAAUAGGAGGAAACAAUGGGACAACUACUAAUAGUACUAUGGAACUAGUACCGCUGUUUCUGAUUGUUGAUUAUAGUGAAGAAGAGUAUGGAAAUGUGUCAAACAGCAGUGAAAACAGACCGAAUAACGGAGGAAAUGGCACUAAUCAAAUAUCUAAUCGUACUUCAAUAUCACAAAAUCAGCAGAGUAAUCGUACUUCAAUAUCACAAAAUCAGCAGAGUAAUCAUACUUCAAUAUCACAAAAUCAGCAGAAUAAUCGUACUAGAUCUUAAAGAAUUUUUGAAAGGCAACAAAACUGGUGGAAAAACGGAAUUAUAUGAUAAUCUGCAUAGAGUACUUUGUCAAAUUCCACUACGUAGCGAUAUGAUAUCUCUUAAUAAGCUUACAAUAUUUUUUUUAGUUAAAUAGCACAUCUUUUAGUAAGAGCUACAAGCAUUAUUUACAAUAAAAAAAGAUUUACUAAGAAGAAAGAUAUAUAUGUAUUAUAAUAAAAUGUUACAAAAUGUUAUAAAUAUAUCUACUUAUUCUCUUUUAGUAAUCUCACAGUUUAAUGAUAUAACAGUUAAUAAAUGUAUAAUAAAAU